UACGUAGGGUGCAAGCGUUAAUCGGAAUUACUGGGCGUAAAGCGUGCGCAGGCGGUUUUGUAAGUCUGUCGUGAAAUCCCCGGGCUCAACCUGGGAAUUGCGAUGGAGACUGCAAGGCUAGAAUCUGGCAGAGGGGGGUAGAAUUCCACGUGUAGCAGUGAAAUGCGUAGAGAUGUGGAGGAACACCGAUGGCGAAGGCAGCCCCCUGGGCUGACACUGACGCUCAGGCACGAAAACGUGGGGAGCAAACAGG
rnacentral:rRNA from 1 species